rnacentral:rRNA from 1 species
GACAGAGGUCCCAAGCGUUAGGCGGAAUCACUGGGCUUAAAGCGUGUGUAGGCGGAUCGUUAAGUGUCUUGUGAAAUCCCACGGCUCACCCGUGGAACUGCUGGGCAUACUGGCGAUCUUGGGCCAACUAGGGGCAGCCGGAACAAGCGGUGGAGCGGUGAAAUGCGUAGAUAUCGCUUGGAACGCCGAAGGUGAAAACAGGCUGCUGGGGUUGCGCCGACGCUGAGACACGAAAGCCAGGGGAGCAAACGGG